CACGAGUUUGAUCAUGGCUCAGAUUGAACGCUGGCGGAAUGCUUUACACAUGCAAGUCGAACGGUAGAGGGGGCAACCCCUUGAGAGUGGCGAACGGGUGAGUAAUAUAUCGGAACGUGCCCAGUCGUGGGGGAUAACGUAGCGAAAGUUACGCUAAUACCGCAUACGAUCUAAGGAUGAAAGCGGGGGAUCGCAAGACCUCGCGCGAUUGGAGCGGCCGAUAUCAGAUUAGGUAGUUGGUGAGGUAAAGGCUCACCAAGCCAACGAUCUGUAGCUGGUCUGAGAGGACGACCAGCCACACUGGAACUGAGACACGGUCCAGACUCCUACGGGAGGCAGCAGUGGGGAAUUUUGGACAAUGGACGCAAGUCUGAUCCAGCCAUUCCGCGUGCAGGAUGAAGGCCCUCGGGUUGUAAACUGCUUUUGUACGGAACGAAAAGGUUUCUAUUAAUACUAGGAGCUCAUGACGGUACCGUAAGAAUAAGCACCGGCUAACUACGUG
rnacentral:rRNA from 1 species